rnacentral:rRNA from 1 species
UACGUAGGGUGCAAGCGUUAAUCGGAAUUACUGGGCGUAAAGCGUGCGCAGGCGGCUUUGCAAGACAGAUGUGAAAUCCCCAGGCUCAACCUGGGAACUGCAUUUGUGACUGCAUGGCUAGAGUACGGUAGAGGGGGAUGGAAUUCCGCGUGUAGCAGUGAAAUGCGUAGAUAUGCGGAGGAACACCGAUGGCGAAGGCAAUCCCCUGGACCUGUACUGACGCUCAUGCACGAAAGCGUGGGGAGCAAACAGG